rnacentral:SRP_RNA from 1 species
GGUCCGGUCCCAUGCGAUGGGCGGGUUCGAACCGGGUCAGGCCGGGAACGGAGCAGCCCUAAGGAUUUCGUCCCAUGCGCGAGGUGCCCGGGCCCAC